CACAAACUCAUCUGCAAGGUAGAGGCUAGGUUGAGGAGCUUCAUCCUGGACCUCAGCACUUUCGUGGGUGGACAGGUCAGAACAAGGGUCCAUGACUGCUGAGAUCAUCUUGCACGGAAGAGGCACAGCUCCUGAAGCUGAAUUGUAAGGAGGACAUCCUCCCUGGGCGAGUGGGGACGACUAGGAUCGAAGUGGAG